GACGAACGCUGGCGGCGUGCUUAACACAUGCAAGUCGAACGGAAAGGCCCAGCUUGCUGGGUGCUCGAGUGGCGAACGGGUGAGUAACACGUGGGUGAUCUGCCCCUAACUUCGGGAUAAGCUUGGGAAACUGGGUCUAAUACCGGAUAGGACAAUCGUUUAGUGUCGGUUGUGGAAAGUUUUUUCGGUUAGGGAUGAGCCCGCGGCCUAUCAGCUUGUUGGUGGAGUAAUGGCCUACCAAGGCGUCGACGGGUAGCCGGCCUGAGAGGGUGGACGGCCACAUUGGGACUGAGAUACGGCCCAGACUCCUACGGGAGGCAGCAGUGGGGAAUAUUGCACAAUGGGCGCAAGCCUGAUGCAGCGACGCCGCGUGGGGGAUGACGGCCUUCGGGUUGUAAACCUCUUUCGACAGGGACGAAGCUUUGGUGACGGUACCUGUAUAAGAAGCACCGGCUAACUACGUG
rnacentral:rRNA from 1 species